GUGGGGAAUUUUGGACAAUGGGCGCAAGCCUGAUCCAGCAAUGCCGCGUGCAGGAAGAAGGCCUUCGGGUUGUAAACUGCUUUUGUACGGAACGAAACGGUCCUGGUUAAUACCUGGGGCUAAUGACGGUACCGUAAGAAUAAGCACCGGCUAACUACGUGCCAGCAGCCGCGGUAAUACGUAGGGUGCGAGCGUUAAUCGGAAUUACUGGGCGUAAAGCGUGCGCAGGCGGUGCUGUAAGACAGGCGUGAAAUCCCCGGGCUCAACCUGGGAAUUGCGCUUGUGACUGCAGUGCUGGAGUACGGCAGAGGGGGAUGGAAUUCCGCGUGUAGCAGUGAAAUGCGUAGAUAUGCGGAGGAACACCGAUGGCGAAGGCAGUCCCCUGGGCCUGUACUGACGCUCAUGCACGAAAGCGUAGGGAGCAAACAGGAUUAGAAACCCCGGUAGUCC
rnacentral:rRNA from 1 species